CAGCCGCCGCGGGAAUACGAAGGGUGCAAGCGUUACUCGGAAUUACUGGGCGUAAAGCGUGCGUAGGUGGUGGUUUAAGUCCGUUGUGAAAGCCCUGGGCUCAACCUGGGAAUUGCAGUGGAUACUGGGUCACUAGAGUGUGGUAGAGGAUAGUGGAAUUUCCGGUGUAGCAGUGAAAUGCGUAGAGAUGUGGAGGAACACCGAUGGCGAAGGCAGCCCCCUGGGCCAAUACUGACGCUCAUGCACGAAAGCGUGGGGAGCAAACAGGAUUAGAUACCCCUGUAGUCCCUGUCUCUUAUAC
rnacentral:rRNA from 1 species